rnacentral:ncRNA from 1 species
AUGGUUCACCGGUGAGUGAUUAAAAGGGAACGGGGUGGAAAUCCCCGACAGGCCCGCUGCUGUGAACCGCCUUUCAGGGGCAGAAUAGAGUGUCACUGGCCGUUUGGCCGGGAAGACAUUCUGUCCGGGCGGAAAGUCAGAAGACCUGCCAUUGCA